UAGAUACUGACUUGUGAUCUUCACACAGGU
rnacentral:piRNA from 1 species